GAUGAAGAACGUAGCGAAAUGCGAUAAGUAGUGUGAAUUGCAGAAUUCAGUGAAUCAUCGAAUCUUUGAACGCACAUUGCGCCCCUUGGUAUUACAUGGGGCAUGCCUGUUAGAGCGUCAUUUGUACCUUCAAGCUUUGCUUGGUGUUGGGUGUUUGUCUCGCCUUUGCGUGUAGACUCGCCUUAAAAUAAUUGGCAGCCGGCGUAUUGAUUUCGGAGCGCAGUACAUCUCGCGCUUUGCACUCAUAACGACAGCGUCCAAAAGUACAUUUUACACUCUUGACCUCGGAUCAGGUAGGGAUACCCGCUGAACUUAAGCAUAUCAAUAAGCGGAGGA
rnacentral:misc_RNA from 1 species